rnacentral:rRNA from 1 species
GCAUGCAAGUCGAACGGUAGAGUAGUGCUUGCACUACUUGAGAGUGGCGCACGGGUGAGUAACGCGUAAGUAAUCUACCCUGGUAUCAGGGAUAACCCACCGAAAGGUGGGCUAAUACCGGAUACGCUGGAAGCAGGAAAGAUAGCCUCUUCAUGAAAGCUAUCGUACCAGGAGGAGCUUGCGUACCAUUAGCUAGUUGGUAGGGUAAAGGCUUACCAAGGCGACGAUGGUUAGCGGGUCUGAGAGGAUGAUCCGCCACACUGGAACUGGAACACGGACCAGACUCCUACGGGAGGCAGCAGUGAGGAAUAUUGCGCAAUGGGGGAAACCCUGACGCAGCGACGCCGCGUGAAUGAUGAAGGCCUUCGGGUCGUAAAAUUCUGUCAGAUGGGAAGAAGUGCUGUGUAUUUAAUAGAUGCACAGUUUGACGGUACCAUCAAAGGAAGCACCGGCUAACUCCGUGCCAGCAGCCGCGGUAAUACGGAGGGUGCAAGCGUUGUUCGGAAUUACUGGGCGUAAAGCGCGCGUAGGUGGUGUGUUAAGUCAGAUGUGAAAGUCCAUGGCUCAACUAUGGAAGUGCAUUUGAAACUGGCAGACUUGAGUACUGGAGGGGGUAGUGGAAUUCCCGGUGUAGAGGUGAAAUUCGUAGAUAUCGGGAGGAAUACCGGUGGCGAAGGCGACUACCUGGCCAGAUACUGACACUGAGGUGCGAAAGCGUGGGGAGCAAACAGGAUUAGAUACCCUGGUAGUCCACGCCGUAAACGAUGUCAACUAGGUGUUGCAUGCAAGUGCAUGCAAGUGCAUGCAAGUGCAUGCAAGUGCAUGCAAGUUG